AGGGAAGGAGUGUAAAAGAUUGCAGACUCGUUUUUCCCCAGAUGAGCAGCCUGGAAUAUACAGGACAGAUGCAGGGAAGACCACCAUUUACAUCAUGAAGACAGAUUACGUCCAUUACGCCAUUAUUUUCGUUUGCACAAAAGAAAUUGAGGUCCUACAGCUAUACGUCAGGGAAGAGGAAGCAUCAACCGAAGUGAUAGAAAUAUACAAGGAGAUUGCAGCGUCAAUAAAUCUGUCUGUCGACAAGAUCAUCUAUCUUCAGAGAUCUGAUUCUUGCGCAGAUGCAUGAGUAAGACACUUGAACCUGGAACUGUGUGUGACUGCAAAGGUGAAUCAAAGUUGUUAAACCCUCCCAUUUGGAAAGAAAAUCAGCUGGAUCUCAUUCCCAUAAAUGUUACAAGAUGAUGCACCAAUACCACGACCAGUCACAUAAUUAUCUUGAAAACUAGUCGAAACUGAAAUAAAACCAUCCAAGACCCA